rnacentral:rRNA from 1 species
UACGUAGGGUGCAAGCGUUGUCCGGAAUUAUUGGGCGUAAAGAGCUCGUAGGCGGUCUGUCACGUCGGCUGUGAAAACCCGAGGCUCAACCUCGGGCCUGCAGUCGAUACGGGCAGACUAGAGUUCGGUAGGGGAGACUGGAAUUCCUGGUGUAGCGGUGAAAUGCGCAGAUAUCAGGAGGAACACCGGUGGCGAAGGCGGGUCUCUAGUACGGUACUGACGCUGAGACGCGAAAGCGUGGGGAGCGAACAGG